CUGGCUCUGCUGUUCCUUCUGGCGGGGCUGUGUCUGCUUCCUCCCCGCUAACACAGAGGCGCGGCACCCGGACCUGCAGCCGCCCCCAGGGGAUUGGUGGGCACCGGGGAAGGUUUAGCGGAGUGGACCGGGCUUUUUGUGAGGCUUCCCAGCUCCACCUCUGCGUGGUGGUGUAGGAUAUCUUACAACUACUAAAUCUUUUAUAUGGGCGUUUAGUGAGUCUUUAAGGGAUUGAGAGUCUCACUGCCUGACUUCCUCCGCUGGAGCUGCUUUGACAUCCUAGCAGGCUAUCAUAUUCAUCCAGGCUGCAGCUGAAGAGUUUUCUAAACCCAAUUAGUGCAAGAAUGCUAUGACCAAUGGAAAAAUGUUUGAUGCAUGCCAGAAAACAAAUCUUCCCAGCUCUUGGAAAUAUGUUCUGAAAACAAAUAAGGAUCACACAAGGAUUUUCAUGUUAAUAAAUACUUUUUUUCUUAGGAAAA